rnacentral:rRNA from 1 species
AUUGAACGCUGGCGGCAGGCCUAACACAUGCAAGUCGAACGGAAACAGAAAGCAGCUUGGUGCUUUGCUGACGAGUGGCGGGCGGGUGAGAAAUGUCUGGGAAACUGCCUGAUGGAGGGGGAUAACUACUGGAAACGGUAGCUAAUACCGCAUAACUUCGCAAGCCCAAAGAGGGGGGCCUUCUGGCCUCUGGCCAGCGUGUAUUCCCAGAUGGGGUUAGCGAGUAGGGGGGGGUACGGCUCACCGGGGCGGCGAUCCCUAGCGGGUCUGAGAGGGUGAGCAGCCACCCUGGAACUGAGACCCGGUCCAGCCUCCUACGGGAGGCAGCAGUGGGGAAUAUUGCACAAUGGGCGCAAGCCUGAUGCAGCCAUGCCGCGUGUAUGAAGAAGGCCUUCGGGUUGUAAAGUACUUUUAGCGGGGAGGAAGGGAGUAAAGUUAAUACCUUUGCUCAUUGACGUUACCCGCAGAAGAAGCACCGGCUAACUCCGUG